CGACGGCCGCCGUUGAGAGGCGCGAGGUCGCCCCUCAGAGCCCUCCCGCUUCCACCGCCAUUCCGUGGACGCGCUGGCGGGGUGCCGCGGGAAAAAGUUGGCCGCUUCUCCUCCCCCGUUGCUCCCGUCACGGGCGGUAGUACGGGCCGCGGCAAGCCGCCACCUGAGGCUCCGCGAAAGGACCGUCGAGAAGAGCUUUCCCAGUGAAAUAGGCGCCGCAGCUCCUGUAGGAGGCGCCAGAGAGGCGCGAGGGCGCGGCGGAGCUGCAAGGGGCAGCGCGGCCGGGAGCGCUGUGGAGGAGCUUCUGAACAGACAGCAGCUUCUGAGACUGUUUAGGAAAUCCGUCCUUCUCGUCUCCAUCAGCCAACAGCCAGCCUUCAGAUUCUCUUCUAGCAGGAGAGAAACAAUGGGACUACUGUUAUGUGAAGAGAAUGGUAGGAGAAGAAGAGAUUUCUUAACAGCUGUAAGAACAAGCCAAUUCCGUGCUUCUGAGGAAUUUGGAAUUCUCAUCAGCUCUUCGUUUACUGCCAAUGGAUAUUCUUCCUCCAGAAAAAAAAGCAAGAAAUCCUGAUGCUGUUGGACACUCUUUACUGAGCCACGGUAACUGCUGAUCCAGUUCUGAUUCGGAAUUCACUUCUAUAGAAGUCUGUUACAAGAUACUUAAGUGCUUUAUCCUUUCCCUAAUGAAUUGAAGACUUCUAUGUAUAACUGCUGGAAGGGUCACUGUGCAUAGAUUACAUUUGUAAGAAAGGAUUAUACGGUCCCAGAUAAACUUCUACUGUACAGUCUUAUACUUAUUUUGGUGAGACCCUUGGCAGAUCAAAGAUUUUCUUCAUAAAGUAUAAGGUGAGACACAAAACUUGGAUUUCCUAAUUCCUAAUUGAAUUUUACAUUCAAGGCUUCUCUGUCUGAUCUUAGCCCUUCGUGACAACAACUGCAAGAAGAAUGUGAACCAAGUAUUAGUCACCAGCGUUAGGAUAAGAAAAUAAAGAGACAAAUCUAAAGCCAGGAUGAGGAAGAUGCUUUGUUAU